UACGGAGGGUGCAAGCGUUAUCCGGAUUCACUGGGCUUAAAGGGUGCGUAGGUGGGCAGGUAAGUCAGUGGUGAAAUCUCCGGGCUUAACCCGGAAACUGCCAUUGAUACUAUCAGUCUUGAAUACCGUGGAGGUAAGCGGAAUAUGUCACGUAGCGGUGAAAUGCUUAGAUAUGACAUAGAACACCAAUUGCGAAGGCAGCUUACUACCCGAAUAUUGACACUGAGGCACGAAAGCGUGGGGAUCAAACAGG
rnacentral:rRNA from 1 species